rnacentral:lncRNA from 1 species
GGAAUUGCUGAAGUUGUGAAGGUUGAUGCUGUGAAUGCGCUCGGUCAUCCCCUUGCAACUGAUGUCACCUGCAGCAUGUCAACGCAGACACAAAACAGGGCAUGGGUCAGAUCUAGCUGGUUGCAUUCCUAACACCUAGGUUUCAGAGUAAAAAUACAGAGUCAGCUUGUGAUGGCAUUCCCUCAAAACAUGGAAGGAAUUGCAGUAAUGAAAGUCAUCAUGUAUUCUAAGAGACUGUUCUGCGAGAGCACAACACAGACGGGGCUAAAGCAGGGAUUGUCUAAGCCCAGUGUGGAGGAACCAUCAAGGAUUUCAGCACGUUUUUUUAGCCAUUGUGAGAAGCAAAAGUGCUCAGGAGUUAAGAGAAGCAGACGUCCGAAAUUAUCUCCAUGCAUUACCAAAAACCGUGGGCACCACGGCACGGGGAAAACUUACCAGGUACAAUGAGCCAGUGACUGUUACUGAAUUUCUUAAGAUUACACUUUUCCCAACUACUGCAGACUGCUUCAGAAUAGAAGAAGACAACUCUCAUGCCAUCAAGCCGACGGACUUUCAAAAAAAUAAAAGAUGCAUUUCUUUACUUGUAAGUAUUUGUCUUUGCAAAGGGCUCUCUGAUAUGGUAGCACAGAAGUUUGCACAUUCUAAGGAUCUGAUGUUUUGCCCUCUUCGGGUAUCCCGGCUGGAAGGAGCUACGGUGAAAGGGCACCUAAGGUGAAUGGACAGAUUGUAGAUGGGUGCACACAGGAAAAUGUACAGCUCCUACAAUGUAUUCUGAGCUUUACUAAGGGAAUUAAUUAUCUGGAAGAACAGGAACAUACAGGCCCAUGAGAAGUAAAAGCAGGCACUGGCAUUCUGCACAGAUGAAAUACUUCCUACGACAGGAAUACAUGCUCACUUGUGGACUUCUCUGUAAUCUGUAGGCAACAUCAGCUCCUGAUUUCUAGGUCUGGAUCUGGGUUCUCUGUAGCACAGGAAGGUCUCUACUUCUCCUACAUAAAUGCCUUGCAUGGCGGGAACUAAAUCAACUACACAGACCCAUACAUCCAGAGAGCAGAGGUGAGCUGGAUACAAGUGGCUUAGAGAUGUGGUGGAAGGAGGCCAGAGCUCCAAGGGAAGGGCAGCAAGGAGACAACAGCAUGGGUUGCAGCUCAGACAACAGGUAAAUAAAACCAAGCAAAGCUGCUGGUCACAGAUUUGACCAGGGUGGCAAGAAAUGACAAGCUACCAUGAGAUUCAACAGUGGCACGGAAGGAUGAUGAGAAGCAAACAGAUUAGGAGAAGCUGCCACCACCGUACAUAGAGGCACAGAUGACCAAGCAGAACAGCACCAGUCCCUGCAAGGUGUGCUCAGAUACAGCUCAGCACAGCCAUCUGGCCAGGAGGGAAUGAUAAUGCACAUGGUGUGCACUGCAGCCGGGAAGUUGAGAACCGCUGUGGGCACCUCAGGACUGAGUCUGGUUACCCUGCUGAUCCAAGAAAUGAAGCCAUCUAAAAUUUUGCCUGCUUUCACAAUUUUCUGUGUGUGUGUGUGUGUAUUAAACAAAGUGAACUAAGAAGCC